CUGGUCAGAACGAACGCUGGCGGCGCGUUUAAGCAUGCAAGUCGAGCGGCAAGGGCCUUCGGGCCCCUAGAGCGGCGGACGGGUGAGUAACACGUGGACAAUCUGCCCCCCGGCCCGGGAUAGCCCAGGGGAAACCUGGAUUAAUACCGGAUGAGACGGGACCCGCGAUGGCGGGACCCGGGAAAGGCGCUGCGGCGCCGCCGGGGGAUGAGUCUGCGUCCCAUUAGCUAGACGGCGGGGUAACGGCCCACCGUGGCGACGAUGGGUAGCCGGCCUGAGAGGGUGGACGGCCACAUUGGAACUGAGACACGGUCCAGACUCCUACGGGAGGCAGCAGCUAAGAAUCUUCCGCAAUGGGCGAAAGCCUGACGGAAGCGACGCCGCGUGAACGAAGAAGGCCGUGAGGUUGUAAAGUUCUUUUCGGGAGGGGGAACAACCGUGGCAGGGAAUGGCCGCGGGAUGACGUGAAUCCCGGAAUAAGCCCCGGCUAACUACGUGCCAGCCGCCGC
rnacentral:rRNA from 1 species